rnacentral:rRNA from 1 species
GGGUUGUGAGGUUAAGCGACUAAGCGUACACGGUGGAUGCCCUGGCAGUCAGAGGCGAUGAAGGACGUGCUAAUCUGCGAUAAGCGUCGGUAAGGUGAUAUGAACCGUUAUAACCGGCGAUUUCCGAAUGGGGAAACCCAGUGUGAUUCGUCACACUAUCAUUAACUGAAUCCAUAGGUUAAUGAGGCGAACCGGGGGAACUGAAACAUCUAAGUACCCCGAGGAAAAGAAAUCAACCGAGAUUCCCCCAGUAGCGGCGAGCGAACGGGGAGCAGCCCAGAGCCUGAAUCAGUGUGUGUGUUAGUGGAAGCGUCUGGAAAGGCGCGCGAUACAGGGUGACAGCCCCGUACACAAAAAUGCACAUACUGUGAGCUCGAUGAGUAGGGCGGGACACGUGGUAUCCUGUCUGAAUAUGGGGGGACCAUCCUCCAAGGCUAAAUACUCCUGACUGACCGAUAGUGAACCAGUACCGUGAGGGAAAGGCGAAAAGAACCCCGGCGAGGGGAGUGAAAAAGAACCUGAAACCGUGUACGUACAAGCAGUGGGAGCCUCUUUAUGGGGUGACUGCGUACCUUUUGUAUAAUGGGUCAGCGACUUAUAUUCUGUAGCAAGGUUAACCGAAUAGGGGAGCCGAAGGGAAACCGAGUCUUAACUGGGCGUUAAGUUGCAGGGUAUAGACCCGAAACCCGGUGAUCUAGCCAUGGGCAGGUUGAAGGUUGGGUAACACUAACUGGAGGACCGAACCGACUAAUGUUGAAAAAUUAGCGGAUGACUUGUGGCUGGGGGUGAAAGGCCAAUCAAACCGGGAGAUAGCUGGUUCUCCCCGAAAGCUAUUUAGGUAGCGCCUCGUGAAUUCAUCUCCGGGGGUAGAGCACUGUUUCGGCAAGGGGGUCAUCCCGACUUACCAACCCGAUGCAAACUGCGAAUACCGGAGAAUGUUAUCACGGGAGACACACGGCGGGUGCUAACGUCCGUCGUGAAGAGGGAAACAACCCAGACCGCCAGCUAAGGUCCCAAAGUCAUGGUUAAGUGGGAAACGAUGUGGGAAGGCCCAGACAGCCAGGAUGUUGGCUUAGAAGCAGCCAUCAUUUAAAGAAAGCGUAAUAGCUCACUGGUCGAGUCGGCCUGCGCGGAAGAUGUAACGGGGCUAAACCAUGCACCGAAGCUGCGGCAGCGACACUAUGUGUUGUUGGGUAGGGGAGCGUUCUGUAAGCCUGCGAAGGUGUACUGUGAGGUAUGCUGGAGGUAUCAGAAGUGCGAAUGCUGACAUAAGUAACGAUAAAGCGGGUGAAAAGCCCGCUCGCCGGAAGACCAAGGGUUCCUGUCCAACGUUAAUCGGGGCAGGGUGAGUCGACCCCUAAGGCGAGGCCGAAAGGCGUAGUCGAUGGGAAACAGGUUAAUAUUCCUGUACUUGGUGUUACUGCGAAGGGGGGACGGAGAAGGCUAUGUUGGCCGGGCGACGGUUGUCCCGGUUUAAGCGUGUAGGCUGGUUUUCCAGGCAAAUCCGGAAAAUCAAGGCUGAGGCGUGAUGACGAGGCACUACGGUGCUGAAGCAACAAAUGCCCUGCUUCCAGGAAAAGCCUCUAAGCAUCAGGUAACAUCAAAUCGUACCCCAAACCGACACAGGUGGUCAGGUAGAGAAUACCAAGGCGCUUGAGAGAACUCGGGUGAAGGAACUAGGCAAAAUGGUGCCGUAACUUCGGGAGAAGGCACGCUGAUACGUAGGUGAAGUCCCUUGCGGAUGGAGCUGAAAUCAGUCGAAGAUACCAGCUGGCUGCAACUGUUUAUUAAAAACACAGCACUGUGCAAACACGAAAGUGGACGUAUACGGUGUGACGCCUGCCCGGUGCCGGAAGGUUAAUUGAUGGGGUUAGCGGUAACGCGAAGCUCUUGAUCGAAGCCCCGGUAAACGGCGGCCGUAACUAUAACGGUCCUAAGGUAGCGAAAUUCCUUGUCGGGUAAGUUCCGACCUGCACGAAUGGCGUAAUGAUGGCCAGGCUGUCUCCACCCGAGACUCAGUGAAAUUGAACUCGCUGUGAAGAUGCAGUGUACCCGCGGCAAGACGGAAAGACCCCGUGAACCUUUACUAUAGCUUGACACUGAACAUUGAGCCUUGAUGUGUAGGAUAGGUGGGAGGCUUUGAAGUGUGGACGCCAGUCUGCAUGGAGCCGACCUUGAAAUACCACCCUUUAAUGUUUGAUGUUCUAACGUUGGCCCCUAAUCGGGGUUGCGGACAGUGUCUGGUGGGUAGUUUGACUGGGGCGGUCUCCUCCUAAAGAGUAACGGAGGAGCACGAAGGUUGGCUAAUCCUGGUCGGACAUCAGGAGGUUAGUGCAAUGGCAUAAGCCAGCUUGACUGCGAGCGUGACGGCGCGAGCAGGUGCGAAAGCAGGUCAUAGUGAUCCGGUGGUUCUGAAUGGAAGGGCCAUCGCUCAACGGAUAAAAGGUACUCCGGGGAUAACAGGCUGAUACCGCCCAAGAGUUCAUAUCGACGGCGGUGUUUGGCACCUCGAUGUCGGCUCAUCACAUCCUGGGGCUGAAGUAGGUCCCAAGGGUAUGGCUGUUCGCCAUUUAAAGUGGUACGCGAGCUGGGUUUAGAACGUCGUGAGACAGUUCGGUCCCUAUCUGCCGUGGGCGCUGGAGAACUGAGGGGGGCUGCUCCUAGUACGAGAGGACCGGAGUGGACGCAUCACUGGUGUUCGGGUUGUCAUGCCAAUGGCACUGCCCGGUAGCUAAAUGCGGAAGAGAUAAGUGCUGAAAGCAUCUAAGCACGAAACUUGCCCCGAGAUGAGUUCUCCCUGACUCCCUGAGAGUCCUGAAGGAACGUUGAAGACGACGACGUUGAUAGGCCGGGUGUGUAAGCGCAGCGAUGCGUUGAGCUAACCGGUACUAAUGAACCGUGAGGCUUAACCUUACAACGCCGAAG